CCUACGGGAGGCAGCAGUGGGGAAUAUUGGACAAUGGGCGAAAGCCUGAUCCAGCAAUGCCGCGUGAGUGAUGAAGGCCUUAGGGUUGUAAAGCUCUUUUACCCGGGAUGAUAAUGACAGUACCGGGAGAAUAAGCUCCGGCUAACUCCGUGCCAGCAGCCGCGGUAAUACGGAGGGAGCUAGCGUUAUUCGGAAUUACUGGGCGUAAAGCGCACGUAGGCGGCUUUGUAAGUAAGAGGUGAAAGCCUGGUGCUCAACACCAGAACUGCCUUUUAGACUGCAUCGCUUGAAUCCAGGAGAGGUGAGUGGAAUUCCGAGUGUAGAGGUGAAAUUCGUAGAUAUUCGGAAGAACACCAGUGGCGAAGGCGGCUCACUGGACUGGUAUUGACGCUGAGGUGCGAAAGCGUGGGGAGCAAGCAGGAUUAGAUACCCUGGUAGUCCACGCCGUAAACGAUGAUAACUAGCUGUCGGGGCUCUUAGAGCUUCGGUGGCGCAGCUAACGCAUUAAGUUAUCCGCCUGGGGAGUACGGCCGCAGGUUAAACUCAAAGAAUUGACGG
rnacentral:rRNA from 1 species